UAUGUGAUCGUCUCUCGCAUAUCAAUAAGCGGAGGAAAAGAAACUAACAAGGAUUCCCCUAGUAACGGCGAGUGAAGCGGGAAGAGCUCAAAUUUGAAAUCUUAAAGGGUUUCCCUUUACGAAUUGUAGUUUAAAGAAGUGUUUUCUGUUGAGGUUUUGGUAAAAGUUCUUUGGAAUAGGACAUCAUAGAGGGUGAGAAUCCCGUAUUUGACCUUUACUUUCAACUUUGUGAUACACUUUCAAAGAGUCGGAUUGUUUGGGAAUGCAGUCCAAAAUGGGUGGUAAAUUUCAUCUAAAGCUAAAUAUUGGCGAGAGACCGAUAGCGAACAAGUACCGUGAGGGAAAGAUGAAAAGAACUUUGAAAAGAGAGUUAAACAGUACGUGAAAUUGUCAAAAGGGAAGCGUUUGACACCAGUGUUGUUUUUCUGAAAAUCAAUUAAAGAACUGUUUAUGCUAAGUUGUUUAGACUUUAUCAGCUAUCUGCUUAGUUUUGAGCUUUUCUUUAAUGCACUUUUCAGUUAACAAGUCAACAUCAAUUUCUUUUGCUGUAAAAAAGCUUGAGGAAGGUGGCUUGAGAUUCGUCUUAAGUGUUUAUAGCCUCUUGCCUAUGCAGUCGGAGAGAUUGAGGUCUGCAGGCGUAGAUCCUUCGGGGCUAAAUGCAUUUGUGCUAAGUUAUAGCCUUUUAUAGACAACUUGUUGACUAUGAUUUGUCUUGUAGCUUACUCGCUUAUGUUAUUUUACCUACGCUUAGGAUGUUGAAGAUAUGCGCGACACG
rnacentral:rRNA from 1 species